AACGUAGGAGACAAACGUUAUCCGGAGUUACUGGGCGUAAAGGGCGUGUAGGUGGUUUCGUAAGUCUGGCGUGAAAUUUUUCGGCUUAACCGGGAAAGGUCGUCGGAUACUGCGGAGCUAGAGGACGGUAGAGGCGUGUGGAAUUCCCAGUGUAGAGGUGAAAUUCGUAGAUAUUGGGAAGAACACCGGUGGCGAAGGCGGCUCUCUGGACCGAUACUGACGCUGAGGCGCGAAAGCGUGGGGAGCAAACAGG
rnacentral:rRNA from 1 species